rnacentral:rRNA from 1 species
UAGUUUGACUGGGGCGGUCUCCUCCUAAAGAGUAACGGAGGAGCACGAAGGUUGGCUAAUCCUGGUCGGACAUCAGGAGGUUAGUGCAAUGGCAUAAGCCAGCUUGACUGCGAGCGUGACGGCGCGAGCAGGUGCGAAAGCAGGUCAUAGUGAUCCGGUGGUUCUGAAUGGAAGGGCCAUCGCUCAACGGAUAAAAGGUACUCCGGGGAUAACAGGCUGAUACCGCCCAAGAGUUCAUAUCGACGGCGGUGUUUGGCACCUCGAUGUCGGCUCAUCACAUCCUGGGGCUGAAGUAGGUCCCAAGGGUAUGGCUGUUCGCCAUUUAAAGUGGUACGCGAGCUGGGUUUAGAACGUCGUGAGACAGUUCGGUCCCUAUCUGCCGUGGGAGCUGGAGAACUGAGGGGGGCUGCUCCUAGUACGAGAGGACCGGAGUGGACGCAUCACUGGUGUUCGGGUUGUCAUGCCAAUGGCACUGCCCGGUAGCUAAAUGCGGAAGAGAUAAGUGCUGAAAGCAUCUAAGCACGAAACUUGCCCCGAGAUGAGUUCUCCCUGAGACUUAGAGUCUCCUGAAGGAACGUUGAAGACGACGACGUUGAUAGGCCGGGUGUGUAAGCGCAGCGAUGCGUUGAGCUAACCGGUACUAAUGAACCGUGAGGCUUAACCUUACAACGCCGAAG